CAUUGCAAAAUGGCACAAACUGAAUGCUAAACUGAUAUGUUAUAACUUUCAAUUUGAGUUGGAGUUUUAUUUUUGUACAUAACACAGCGUGGAGAGAACAUUGUCUUGAUAGUUCUUGAUUUUCACUUUUUCUUUGAAUCAAAGUAGGCCAAUGUAGCACCACCCUAUUGGACCUGACAGCACUGAGUGCACUAACCAGAAUGGCACCAUUCAGCCAAGAACCCUCCAACAUAGAGACCCUCAGAAUAUUGGCAGCAGCCUCCUGGAGGAUGACCUCAUGUUGCUGGGGCGACACAGUGGUGCAGCUGGAAGGCAUUGCCCCUUGGUCUGAUUGAGGUGUGGGGCUCUGACAGCACUGCUGAGUCUGAUCAGGAAUUCUGCCCUCCAGGAUGACUGAGAGACUAUUUUAUCAAACAAACAAUAUCUCAGUACUAUGUUACAAACUUAGCUCACAUAAUCUUUCAAAAAGUGUAGAAGGUGGACAGAGGUAGCUGCGUUUCGGAGCUCAUGGAGGGUGAAGUGAAAGGGGCGGUGCGGUACUUACCCCUUUUGUGUGGUGAUCAGUCCUGGUUCAGAGGGAGGGGCUGAGGGUGAGGAAGACCUGAUUCUUCCGUCACCUUCUGCACACACCAGCAACGUCAGACGGGAGCAGAACCGCUAAACCUCAAGCGAUACAACCACAGGUUCUGUUGCUCUCUCGCCACAUUGCAGGAACCUCCUCGGGCCCUGGCCAGGACUGGAUCCAGACGAGCCCAUCUAACGCUUUCACUGUCUGUCUGCUUGUUUUGGAUGGGUCGCACAGCAGACAAAACAGGCACCUCCGGCAGCUCCAAUGACAGGCUCGUUGGAUUCACACACUGACAGUAUUGGGCUGGGGAAGGGGAGCUACAUUACCCACAAGUACCGGGGCUUCAUCCCCUCAAAAACUAGACAAACAUCUACUUUUAAUAGGACCGAGCGUGCAGCGACAGCAGUGCACACUGUUACAGCUGUCGCAUGCUGCAAAAGCCUGAGAGGAGAAGAGGGGACAAAAAAGAAGAAAAAUAUAGUAAUGGGAAUUUUGAUAAGGCACAUAAACUUCACUCAUCCCCCCUUCUCACAUGUAUUGUCAUGUCAACAAAGGUCACCAAAUCAUUUUCUUCCUUUUUCUCAAUUUUACAUUUGUACAUCCAGUGACUGUCCUUGGCACCUCACACACACGUGUAUUACGUUUAUGGCUCAGUGCAUUGCUCCCAAACACAGACACGCCACUCCGUUCAGGCAGCAUGCUAAAGAGCCCCGCUUGAAGGAUGCUUUGUAGAUAUAGUAACAAGAAACAGACCAGUGGACCAGAAAGCCAGAAGCCUCCUUAUCAGACAUUUGACAGCCCUUAAGCUGUCAGGCUCUAAACACAGGGUGAACCUCCAUAUGAUGUGUCUCAUUCAUCAUUUAAUUCACUGCUAUUAACGGCUGUUGAAUUCAAAUACCUAUGUUAACACGGAGGACUGUCAGUAAAUGCACCUAAAAGACUCAGUGAACCUAAAAGAAAACAACGCUGGACUUUUAACGGGAGAGAAAUGUUCAGAGUCGAGUAAUUGAUCAACAAUAAUACAAUACUUCACUCCACUGCUUAUUUACCUUGUGAUCAUACGCUACACUACACCUUGUGUGCAGUAUCAUGUGAAUUUAAGUUAACGUCAAAGUAUCAAAAGGG